CUGGUGUGGUUUUUAGUAUAUCUGAAGAACAAAGAGAAGGUUGAGUGUUUUAUUAGAAAGAUACAUGUUACAUAUUGUUUUGUAAGGAGCUUACUGGCAGUAGUGAAGUUUCUGGGAGCUGGCAAGCUCUGGUGAAUGAUGGCAGUAGGAAAAACUAACCUUAGAGUCAUGGCAGGUCAUUUAGGUAGCUGCUAGGUAAAAAUGGUCUUACAUUGCACAGGCCAUUUCAGCAGCUGAGCUUGCAGGAGAAUUCUUGAAGCAGGUGCUAUGUACCCUGAGUGCUUUUUCCCCUGGUUCCUCCAUUCCGAUUCACUUGGGUAUGACAAAAAUAACUCAAUUCAUACCACCAGUUUUCAGUUUAUUCUAUAUUAUAAAACAUUAGGAUUGAUUUGUUAAUAUAUGAGCUGCUCUUAUAAAAGGAUCGUAUUUUAGUGAUCUGAUCAUUAGGGCUUUCUUUUAAUUUCAAGUUGUACUUACCUGGGCUCUUGGAUCACGGCUGGAUCAGGAAGCUGUUUCUGGUCUAGAAAUGAAGUGUUGUCAUGUUCACAUCCAGCCAGCUUGGGGUCUGAAGGGAAGUGUACAAUCUGUGAGAAGACUGUGUGCUACUCUGCAAAUUGCAGAUAAUUACUCUGAACAGAGAAGUCCUUUGAAGUUGCUGCAUGAGGUCAGUAGAAAGUGUGUGAAGCACCCACAUGAAAUGAAUCUUUUGUUCAUUACUUCUGUGCUCACAGAGGGGUUGACUGCAUUGGGUUAUUCAUCUUCUUUCCCUAUGGAAACUGACUGUGGAGUUCUGUGCCAGGCCCAGCAUGCAUCUUCUUCCCAGGCUGCCAGAUUUCACAGAAUGUUAAAUAAAAU
rnacentral:lncRNA from 10 species